rnacentral:rRNA from 1 species
GUCUUUUUGAUUAUAAUUUAAAGUCUGACCUGCCCUAUGAAUUUUUAAAUGGCCGCGGUAUUUUGACCGUGCAAAGGUAGCAUAAUCAUUAGUUUUUUAAUUGAAAGCUAGAAUGAAAGGUUGGACGAGAAAAUGACUGUCUCAGUUUAGAUUAAUUAGAAUUUUAUUUUUAAGUUAAAAAGCUUAAAUUUUUUUAAAAGACGAGAAGACCCUAUAGAGUUUGAUAUUUUUAUAAAUUUUAAUUUUUAUAAUUUAAUUUAUUUGUAAAAAUAUUUUAUUGGGGUGAUAAAUAAAUUUAAUUAACUUUAUUUUUUUUUAAACAUAAAUUUAUGAAUUAAUGAUCCAUUAUUAAUGAUUAUAAGAUUAAAUUACCUUAGGGAUAACAGCGUAAUUUUUUUAGAGAGUUCAAAUCGAAAAAUAAGAUUGCGACCUCGAUGUUGGAUUAAAGUUAAUUUUUGGUGUAGAAGCUAAAAUAUUAAGUCUGUUCGACUUUUAAUACUUUACAUGAUCUGAGUUUAAACCGGCGUGAGCCAGGUUGGUUUCUAUCUUUAAAAUAAUAAAAUAUUUUAGUACGAAAGGACCAAAUAUUUAUAAUAAUUAUUAUUAAUGUGAAUAU